GUGAUAGUAUUUGAAAUACACAAAUAUCAGCCUUCCAAGCUGAUAGCGUGGGUUCGAUUCCCAUCACCCGCU
rnacentral:tRNA from 1 species